rnacentral:rRNA from 1 species
UUCCGGUUGAUCCUGCCGGACCUGACUGCUAUCGGAUUGAUACUAAGCCAUGCGAGUCUUUGCAGUAAUGCAAGGCAUACGGCUCAGUAACACGUAGUCAACUUACCCUAUGGACGAGGAUAAUCUCGGGAAACUGAGCAUAAUACUCGAUAGAUCAUAAUGCCUGGAAUGGUUUAUGGUUAAAAUGAUUCGUCGCCAUAGGAUGGGACUGCGGCCUAUCAGUUUGUUGGUGAGGUAAUGGCCCACCAAGACUAUUACAGGUACGGGCUCUGAGAGGAGAGGCCCGGAGAUGGGUACUGAGACAAGGACCCAGGCCCUAUGGGGCGCAGCAGGCGAGAAAACUUUGCAAUGUGCGAAAGCACGACAAGGUUAAUCCGAGUGAUUUCUGCUAAAGGAAUCUUUUGUUAGUUCUAAAAAUACUAGUGAAUAAGGGGUGGGCAAGUUCUGGUGUCAGCCGCCGCGGUAAAACCAGCACCUCAAGUGGUCAGGAGGAUUAUUGGGCCUAAAGCAUCCGUAGCCUGUUCUAUAAGUUUGCGGUUAAAUCUAUACGCUCAACGUAUAGGCUGCCGUAAAUACUGUAGAACUAGGGAGUGGGAGAGGUAGACGGUACUCGAUAGGAAGGGGUAAAAUCCUUUGAUCUAUUGAUGACCACCUGUGGCGAAGGCGGUCUACCAGAACACGUUCGACGGUGAGGGAUGAAAGCUGGGGGAGCAAACCGGAUUAGAUACCCGGGUAGUCCCAGCUGUAAACGAUGCAGACUCGAUGAUGCAAUGGCAUAGAGCUAUUGCAGUAUCGCAGGGAAGCCGUUAAGUUUGCCGCCUGGGAAGUACGUACGCAAGUAUGAAACUUAAAGGAAUUGGCGGGGGAGCACCACAAGGGGUGAAGCCUGCGGUUCAAUUGGAGUCAACGCCGG